UCUUUGCAGCCUCUGGAGGACACUCAGACCUGGAUCUGCUGCCUAGUGGCAGGAUGCUGGCUCUCCCUGGGUGCCCUCUGUGCCCACUUCCCAAUGGAUUACUACAGGAUUUAUCUCUCCUCACUCUGGAUUUAUUUUCAUUACCUGGGAUACUUUAAUCAUGGACUAACCAAUGGAAGGAUCUCAGCCAGACCUGGGCAGAUAAUACCUAACGAGAUAUCAUUACGGUUAUGGCAGUAUGGAUGUGAAGAAUAUAUCCCAGUCCUUUCCAUUGCGACAGCUGCAACUUCAUUCCAGUUAGCCAUGUUAUGGUCUAAUCAUAAACCUCACCACCGCUUGAAGACAUUUGGUGUUUGAACAUCAUGUGACAAUGCCUUCAGGACAUCUAAACCUGGAAACAUGGAAUUCUAAAUAACAUCUGUGGAGAAAGAAGCACAGUGUGUCGCGACGUCUACUUAUAGUACUCACACAGACUGUUGCCAAAAAGAGAUAGGAGGUGAAAGGCUAAGGCACAAAGCAGAAAGGUUGGACAACGGCAGUUUUUUCGAAGGAUCAUCAUUCCAGCUAGAGCUUUCUCAUUAAGAGCUCCCAACACUGGAAACACAACGUAACAGCCAAGGUGUGCAACGUGGAAAAGGUGCAGGUCUAUGGACAUCAUUCGAUUGCCUGGAUGUACAUAUUAGGAUUUAUUAUUUUCGAUACGGCAGGUCCGGCAGGGUUUUGUCCAAAUCUCCAGAUUUCGUUUUAAUUGUACGUCUCCAGCUCAGUUUAGGAAAUCUACCAAUGCACCGGACGAUACACUACAAACACAUCUCAUCCACUGCAAUACCAGUACUUGCAUUUAAGUUUUCCGAUCUCGUGGAACAAAAUGACAAUCUGCUGUUGUCUUUAUUGCUCAAUUCCUACAAGAAAGGAGGAGAACUAUACAUGGAGCAUGCAGAAUUUACAGGAGAAAGGUGUGACAUAACAU